GAGGGGGCGCGGCGAGCCCCCGUAACUCCGUUUGUUAGGAAUGUUUAUUUGUCCCGGUGGGAACUGCGAUGGCUGAUGCUGAGGGAUGUGGGCGAGCUUAGCCCUCGUGCAGUUGAGACUAGCUUAGGGCAAGGUCAGGGCGAGCCCUGUGUGUGCCACUUGCCUCAGCUGGGAGCAUUUUUACGAAAUCCAUCAGCGCAUCAGUUAAGUUGGAAGAGACUUUUGAGGUCACUGAGUCCAACCUGUGGCCGAACACCACCAUGUCUACUCGACCAUGGCACUAAGAGCCAAAUCCAGUCUUUCCUUAAACACUUCCCGUUCCAGAGAUGAUGACCCUACCACCUUGGUCAGGUGUCCAGCAAAUUGACACCUUGGCUUUUUUGGGAGGGUGGGAUUGUUUGGGGUUUUUUAAAUUGGCUUUUAGGAGUUUUCCCAUUGAAAUGCUAUUUGGGAGCCUUUGUAACUUCCUCAAAUAUUUUGCAAAACCUGUGGCUAUAAAGAGAAGGUGGAGAAAACGGAAGGCUUCUGGGGUUGCACAGUCAAUGGUGUUUGAGGCGUGCUGGCCUUUUUUCUACCCCGAGAUGGCAGGGGACAGCCUUAUUUUUGAAAAAGUAUAAUAUUAAACACAUGCACAAUAAAAAAAACUACAUGGCUCUUUGCACUGAUAACAAGAACAACAUGUGUUUUGUGCCUUUUAUGCAGGGCUUCAGUUUUGAAAUUAAAUAGCUCAAUGUUUGUCGUCUGAGGUGUGGGCAUUCCCUUUGAUGCACAAAUGUGGCUCUUCAAAGGUCCUGAAGACUUGCAGUUCAAUUUCAUAGUAUGGAUGGGGACCAUCCUGGGCCUUAGUUGACUAAUACAAUUCUACUUAGUCCUUGCUGUUGUCUCUAGCUGUAUUUUGUCGGGCAGAGGAAGGAAACAGUAUGUUUUUUUCUGUGCACAGUGAAAAUCUUUCUGUUACAGAAUCCUAGAAGGGUUUGGGUUGGAAGGGACAUUAAAGAUUAUCUACUUCCAACCUCCCUUCUAUGAACAGAAGCAUCUUCCACUAGAGGAGGUUACCCAAAGCCUCAUCCAACCUGGCCUUGAACACUUCCAGGGAUGGGACAUCCUUAACUUCUCAGUGGCUCACUACUCUCACAGUAAAGAAUUUCUUUCUAGCAUCCGGUUUAGACCUACUUCCUCUCAGUUUAAAGCAAUUCCCCCUUAUCCUGUCACUACCUGCCCUCUAGCUCUCUUUUAGGGCCCCUUUAGAUACAGGAAGGUGCUCUGAGGUCUCCCUGGAGCCUCCUCUCCUCCAGGCUGAAAAGCCCCAGCUCUCUCAGCCUGUCUCCAUAAGAGAAGUGUUCCAGCCCUCUGAUUAUUUCCAUGGGCUUCCUCUGGACUCAUUCCAACAGGUCCAUGGCACUGCUGUGCUGGGGACCCCAGAGCUGGAUGCAGCCCUCCACUGAAGUUGCUCCUUUAGUGGACAGCUCUGUUCAACAGUCCUUGGAGCAUGUAACUGUUUUUCCUCAAUCCCUGCAUUAGCCAAGGGGUGUGACUUGGUCACUGUGUUUGAAAGCAGAGGAGCUGUGUUGUCAGGUGUGUGUAUGUUUUGAUCUGAGCACUUUGAUAUGCUGUUGCUCCUAAAGGACUCCAAUUCACACAGCCACAGAAUGAGGCUUAGGAAAACUUCUGAAAGAUUUUGAGGUUCAGUUUUGCUGAAUCUGGCCUUUAAAAAGCCAAUUUUAUUUUAGGUAGGGAUUUUUUGUUUGUGUUGGUUGUGGUUUGUUUGUUGCUUUUUUACACACUAUUCUUUCUUGUUUAAAUAGGCCAAUAAUAUGUUAAAGAUAGACAUUUGGCCCUUUUCUAGUGUUGUCAGUGAGGCUUUUUUAAUGAGCUGACCAACUGGCAUUUCAAGUGAAGGAUUUUUUUUUUAAUUGGCUCGUGAAUGCAGAGCAAACGCGAGCAGAAAUUUGCAACUAUCAAGUGCUUUCUAAAAGGUACUGGCUGAUUUUACAACAGGCUCAGUCCUGAUCUACUUUUCUGAAUUUCUAUUCUGUCAGUUGGCAUCCUGUUUUUGGUAACAGCAGUUCAGGCUUAACGAUGCAGCAGAGGAGCUGUUUCAAAUGGCAGUGUUGUACGCUGAGAGAAUACCUUUGUAUUUGCUUUCCUUCCUGACCGUUUUUCUGGAUGUUAAGGAGCCAAAAAGGACUGAUGAUUCAUAUUAGCUGGGAAAAAAUGUGUAUAUCAGAGCUUUUUUUAAUGUAUAAUUUACUACCAAUGUUAACUUUCCUUGAUUUGGAAUCUGAUUUAUUUAAAAAUUAUUGCAGAUCAUGGUGUGGAUAAGGUUAUGUGAUGUUUACUUUAAAUUUCAGUGCUAUAACUUUUACUUGCAACAGGGAGGUUAUAUCAUUCUGAGUGUACUGUCAGAGUUAGAUCAGACAAUUUUUUGAGCAUAGACAAGCCCAGACAAUGUGAUUUAUUUGAAUGCUGACUAAUGGUAAAGUGUAUCUUUGUCAUUGGUAACAAAUUAUAUUGUUGCCUAUUUAUUUUCAAACUGUUCAAAAGGCUGUACUCUUGAAUAUCUCAGAGCUCAGGCAAUGAAAUUUAGUGGCAGCAAAAGCACAGUUCUAGUAAAAGCUUUUAUUAAUGUUUCUGUAAAUAUAUUGUUUGAAUUGAAAUAAGGUUUAAUAAUCUUAUGAUAAAAUCAAUCAAACAAAUGCAGACAGAUGGAAAUUAAGAGACUCCUCUAGGUAGAUGGAAGGAUUCAGUGGGUUUGGUACUACACUGCCAGGGCAGCAAUGGAAAUUACAUUUCCGUAGAGGAGAUGCAAAAUGUGCCUACUGGAAACUGCAUUCAACCCACACUAAUAGCUUGAUAGGGAAGGACAUUUUCAAUUUCUCUCUUUUUAUUUUAUCUUAUUUUAUUUUUACUUCCUCCACCCCACCCCCCCACAUCCUCUUGUGUGCUUUGUUUCAAGGUAAUUUGGUUUGAUUUGUUCCACUGUGUGUGGUGGUGCAUUCUGUGGACGCAAAACCCCACAAAAAAGUCCACAUUAGUGACUGAGAAGUUGACUUUGCAUAGUGAUUAUGAACAAUUUUGUGUAUAGAAAAUCAGUUUCCUAUUCUGAGUGUGUAAAAUAAUGGCCAAAUGCCUUAAGGAAAGAAAAAAGUCUUUCAUUUCCAAGUUUCCUUAAUAGCGGAAUUAUUCAGGGGAUAAUGCCAAAUGCAGAAUUCAUGUUGUGGUUGUACAAACUAGAAAAUCUUGAAUGCUGUGGAUCUGCAUAUAGGAAAAUGUCAAAUGAGAGCUUUUCAUUCCUCAACAAGAGCCACCAUGUGUCAGUACUGCUGAAAGAAUGGCAGCAAAAUUCCUGCAGCAAAAACUGCACAUGGACACAUCCAGGAAGUCAAUUAUUAAUCAGAAGUACAGACUCAUGGUUCAUAUUUCUCACCAAACUUCAUUAGCACCAGUCCAGCAGUGUUUAGUAACAGGAGUAGACACCUUAGUUUAGAAAGCCAUUUGAAAAGCAGAUCAGGUUUGAAGUGAGUAAACAAGUCCCUUAAACAGUCCUUCCAGCUUUGUGCUCCUGCAGCUGAACAAGUUGUUAAGCUUGAUAUUAAGAUAAUUUGAGAAUGGCUUUAGAAAUUAAUGAUACAAUACCUCCUGAAAUGAAGAAUAUUAAAAUAGUACAGUUAAGCAUAAUUUGGUGUGGUGGAGGAUACUUGAUUUCAGCUAUGUGCUCAGAUGGUCAUUGAUUUAAAAAUGUUCAAAUGAGAGAAAACAUAACCCUAUUGCCUGAAAUUAUCUUUGGGGACCUGAAGUUUAAUACACUUUAAAAAAUCACCAUCUAUUAGUCUCCAUGUAGACAAAAAUGACAUGAGUUUAAUUGUAAAAUGGGUUUAAUUCAGCAGCUGCGACCCUUUGUGGAUAUGUGUAAAUCACUUAAGCAGUGAUACAAGAUGGUCUGUAAAGAGUUUUGCACCUGUGUAGCUAUAAUGAGGUUUGUAAUUGAUUUGAGUAGAAAUUGCACAACUGGUGUGUUUAGGCAAGGCCUUCAUCUGGCAUUUAAUUCAAUAACAGGAGAAUCUCAAACCUUACAGUGUUUUAUUGCUGAUUCCUUCUCUUCCUUUCCAAUAGUUUAAAUGUGUUGAUGUUGCUCCUCUGCUUCUUGUGUCUUAAUUAUCCUGCUUAAUUUGCCUUUCCCAUGACAUGUACAGUGGUAAAAAUCAUUCCAGUCUGCAUGCACAGAUCUGCUUUUUGCUCUCCCCAGCCAAGCUCUGACAUAAUCAUCUGCUACCAUAACCUUUUGCAUCAACCUGUGUUUACUUCUUGUGAAAAAAAUGGGGCUUUUCCAUCUGCUGGGCUGGUGCCAGUCCUCCUAAAUCUUCAUCCCUUGUUAAACAACUGAGGGAGAGACACACACUGGGCCUUUCUGUAAAUAAAUUAAAAAUGCCAUACUCCACGUUCUACUUGUGUAUUUUUCUGACCCAGGUACAUAAGUGCUGUGCAACAUUUAAAACCUGUGGACCUCUGAAGUACCUAAUCUAACAUGUUUUGUCGUCUGUAGUGUUUGCAAGCACCUUAAUCAGAAUUUGGUUGUUCUUGGCAAAUGUUGCACUCAAGUGCUUUUGCAAAACUUUUAUUUUAUUCCUUCUGGUAAGAAGGAAAGUACUGCCUUGGGGAUGAUCAAAAAAUAGUUUAAAAAAAGGCCAUUUUCUUCAGGGACAACACCAAAUGGCCCAUCUGAAGAGAGAUGUUUAACAUGUAAAUGCCAGGUACCUAGGUGUUGUAGAUAGUGUGUCUUAUUAAAAUGUUUUGUUGGAACAGCAAAGCUGCUCAGGGAACCAGCUGGAGGGUAAAGCCAACCUCUGGGAAGUGGAGUAAAAGUUAUAUUCAGUUUAAGUAUAUGAGAUCUCUCACUGCUUAGUCACAGUUAAGGUGAAUUUUGUUGAAGUGAGAGGGGAGAGCAGAGUACAGGAAAGAGUCAUUCUGCUAUUUGCUGUAACCCCAGCUGCUGUUACAGCAUCAGGGUAAGAUGUGUGGAAACAGCAAAGAACAGAGGGGCAGAGAGGAAAAAAAAUAUUUUUAAGGUGUUUAAAGCCUGCUGAAAUCGGUGGGAGAUUUUUCUUGCUAGCAUUUUGUUCAUCCUUGAGUUGAAUUUUUCUUUAUUGCCUCCCUCACCAGAACAUUCCACACAGUUUCUGGUAGCAAUUGAAUGUAAGGGAAGGGAAAAAGAUUUUAUUUGCACAUUGUCUGUAAACUGUUGCCAUAAUUCAUCAAAGCUUAACUCUUCUGAUUUUAGCUCUCAUAAAUUUGAGCAAGUUAAGUUGGAAAAUUCUUCUGCAGUAUCAAAGAAUACUUCAGUGCAUUAACUAAUUAAGUAGGUAGAAAAAAAGAAAAUAGUGUAGUAAAAUAUCAGCAAAGAAUUCCCCAUGCCUGGAAAUUUCACUGUAAGUAUUGUGCAGUAUUUUUCCAUAAUUGCGUUUAUAGUCUAAAUGUGCACAGCCUUGAGGAAAGAGAAUUUUACAAAAGAUUGUUUCCAGUGCUUUUCUCUUGGUAGCAAUUCGGACUAAUUGUCUCCUUGCUGUUUUCUAGACUACUUGUAGGUAUUUUUCUGGUCAACUGCUGCAUUAAUAUCCGCAUUAAAAUUGUAAAAGAAUUUAAGUCACAUAGUUGUGGAAUAAACUGUGCCAAAACGUACUAUGCAAUACAAAAUAGGAGCUUAUGGGUGCUUUGGGAUAGUGUCAUUUCAAACCAUCCUUGCAUGUAGAUCUGAAGUGAGGACUGCAUCAUUGUCAAGAAGAGAACUCAGCAAUGACUACUUUGACUUUAUAUUACUUGAAUUUCUUUGGCUUCUGCAGUGGCAUUAAAUGAUUAGAGGAUUCAAAAGGAAAAAACUGAUGUAUUGAGGUGAAGUUACUAUGAGGUUUUUACUGCCUUCUGUCCACAUAUGAACUGAGACACCACGUUCUGUGAUAUAUAAUCUGCAGGCUUCAGUUCAGGUCUUCAGGUCCGCAGCAAUCUCUUUUUGCAAAUGACUCUACUGCCUGAAUCCUAGAUUUAUUGUUAUCCAGUUCAAUUUCUGGUUUUUUAUUGUUUUUUUUCCCCCCUUAUCAUAUGUGUUCUGAAACAAUGAAUCUUAAUGUUUAAAAUCCUAUCCUGGGGAAACUGACCCCACAGUAAUUAAUCUAAUCUUUACUGCUAAACUCUCUUCUUGUGCCUUCCUUUCUUAAAUAUUUGUUCCACUUUAUACAUCUUAGAACAUUGUAAUCCCUAUUGAUACUCUGUGCCAUUUCCUGAUACAUCCUCCCAGUUUAUUACUGAUACUUGCUCCCAGACAUAAAAAAAUCAUAGUAUUUCCAAUUAAUUUCUUUAGAAUGGAUUUCUAGUUGCUAAAAGAAAGCAGCCACAUAAAUUUGAUGCAAAAAUAAAUAUCCUUUUCUUAUUUGACUGUAGCAGAAGUACCGAUGCAAAAACAGGAGCAGGGGACAGACUCUUGUGCCAAAGCAGCCAAGCCACUGUUCAAGGCAGGGCACAUUGGGCAGGUAUAACUAUUUCAUUUUCCUUCUUUGACAUGGAAAUCACCAAGUAAUACAAAAUUAAUGUAACAAGCCAUGUCUUACCUUUUAAAAGCCUCUUUGUUUUCUUCUGGUGUGAAUUCUGUCCUCUAAUUUUUUUUUCCAGUUUUUGCUUUUGUGCUCUCUGUACUUCUGCAUUUAGAGAUGCUCGGGAGGGAGGAGGGGUUGCAUGAAGUUGUCUUAAACAUAAGAUACAAAAUUGCUUUACAAAUGCUGACUUAGUAACUCUGCUGCCCUAACACAUGAUACAGCCUCCCUGGUCUCUUCUUUCUCCCAUGUUGUUUGAUAUUGUGCCACUUAUUUUUACAUGGAACCAGUGUUGAUUGAGAUCGUCUAAAAUUGCCAAGACAGCUGUAAUAACCUUAAUCUCAACAUUUCUCCUUUCUGAGCUAGAACAGAUGCACUUUGCUUUUGCACGAAGAACUGCAGUCAGUAUUGCUUUGGAUUAUUUGUGCCAUGGAUAUUGUGCCAAAUUAUUGACCUUCAAAAUUAUAAGGUUACCCUUCUUCUGGAAAGAAAUGUGGCCUGUGACUUUCUUGUUUUCUUCAUUAACUCAUUGUGGCAUCUGCAAGGAUUGGGAAAUGCUCUGGAGUUAUGAAUAAUACACUGGUAGAAGAGUUGGGAUGCUAAGUGUUCAAAACAAGAUCAUCAGUGUAUAUGUGUCCUGAGCAAACAAACACUGUGUUUCUACCUAUGUUUCUAGUCAACUCUGAAUUUUUGGAAAAUACAGUUUCUGAGCCCUAACUUAUCUGUGGCAGAGCCACUGGAGGAAUAGAGGCCAGUUCUUCUGGUAACAACUCUGUUUACAAUUUUCCAGCUUUUCAGUGGACCCUCGUAAUGGCUGCCUGUGAGGAGUUUGCCAAGCACCCAUUCCCAAGGACCAUUGAUUGACUGGAGAAACUGCUCUUCACUGGAAAACAAAAACUGAAAAGAGCUGAAGACAGUUCUUCUGUUACAAUGAUUAUGCUCUUGGUCUAGUGCAGGGUAUCCUAUGUGAGCAAGGAGCUACCCAAAUCAUGCCUGCUGAUGAACAGAAUUUACACGUAGAGUCAAAGAACUGUAAAGAUGUGGCAGUGUAUUUUGCCUUUUAGACUCUGUUUUAAAUGUCUGUCCUGAAACCUAAUAAUAUCUAUGUUUUGUAGGGCUCUGAAGAAUAGUAGUGCAGAUUGACAGAUGUUUUGAUCUGAUGGGAGCUGAAAUUCUAUUCUUAAACCAUUAAUACUAAAUAGACCUAAAUUUCCUGCACUUCUGCUGUGUUGCAAGAGAAUUGAUUGUGAUAUCUGAGACAGAAAAGAAAAAUAAAAAAACGAUGAUGGCAGUUGUGGAAGAUUUUACUUCAGUUUUAGAGAAAUUUAAGAAUAUUUUUAAUGUAAAACUUUUAUCUUAUGCUUGUGGUGGAAGGAAGAGAAAAAUGCCUGUGCCUUAAGGAGCACAUAUGAAAUCAUUAUCAUUAUCAGCAGGAGCAUUCUUGGUGUUUAGCUACUUGGUUAAUCUAAGAACUUACCAACAGUAACAGAGUUAAGCAUUUCUUGCUGUGAGUUUUCAAAUUGUUUUGAAGAUAGAGUUGCUUGGAUUUUGAUUGGAUGAAUCCAUGACUAAAGAACUGAGACUAUGAGAUGAGAAAAAUUGGUAGAUUUUCCUACAAGGAUUUCUGUCUAGGUGCUGUGAGUUGUUGCCAGAGCACACUUAUGGUGAUGUAUCUGUUGGACUUGUGUCUUUUAUGUCAUGUCCUGCCUAGAAGCCAGGAAGAUGCUGCUGAUACUGUUAGUCAGGAUCAGAGGGAUAGCCUCUUGCAGAAGCACUUUGGCUUACUUAUUGGAUCAAGAAACCAUCUUGGCAGUGUUCUUGGCAGUUUUUUAGGUAUAUUUUUCAAAUAUGUUUUUCCUUCUAGGAAAGUUAAUAGAUGAGCUCUGAAAAAAAAUUGCUGUGCUUCCUCUGGAGAUCAGGAUAUCUUGGACAUUUGUGUUUUGGUUAUUUAUCAGGGUGUAAUUUAUCUCUAGAAAUGGAUAAAUUGAGAAUACCUGCAGAUUUUGGGUAAUAGGGAAAAGUUGCUGAUGAGUUGGGAAUAUUUCUAUAGGAUCUAUUUUAUGAAAUCUAUUUUUUAUGUUUUAUUUGAAGACAGUAAUUUUAAAGUCAUUAAAAUGUGUAAUUCUUAAGUUCAGCACUUAAACUUGUAUUUUUCUUUGAGCAUGUGGAUAACCCCAAUAAAAUGCACAGAGGUAAUCUUAUGCUGAAGUAUUUUUGCUGAAUUGUGUCCCUAGAAGAUUUGAUACAUGCAAAGAAAAACACAUCUAAAUAUAUGAGCAUUUUUUCCAGAUUUGGUAGAAAUAUUUCUGCUUUCUACAUAUACUUCUUAUAAUAAGCUUCCCUUGAAUGCCGUUUGAAUAUAAUUUUGCUUCAGCAAAAUUGAUAUUCAAUAAUUUGAAUAUAAUUCAGCAAUCCAGAUGCAAGAAACAUGCCACAAAUAUCUUGCCCUUCUCUCCCUCCCCCAAAGUUGCAUUUGGCAAGUGUAUCAUGCUAUAUAUUGAUGUUACUAUUUUAUAAAGAAUACAUAAAACUUUACACAGUAAUAACAUACUUUUUUGCACUGUUCCAUAAGCACAGAGAAGGUGCAAGACCACUUACUCUCCUACUCCGAUCCAAUAUAAUAUUGAUCAUUAUGCUCAAGAAACUCUUAUUAUCUCUCUGGAAACAGGAUUAAACCACCCUUGUCCAUAAUAGUUAUUUAUAAUUCAUUUAGGAAGAAUCAGCCCACAGGAAUGGAUCUCAAAUUUUUACUUUUGGUGACUAGGGUGUAUAAGCUCUCAAGAGGGUGCAUGGGGUAUAUCCUGAGGGAGGUAAAUUUAUGAGGAACCUGAGGUUGCUCAAGGCUCACCAAGUUGUAAUAGAGUAGCUGAUAGGCAGAGGCAGUGCACAGCCCAGUUAUUACUCUUUCUGUCCAGUAGGAAGCUCUGUAUGGUUCCAGGAUAUGACCCUUUUAUCCCCUGUGGAGAGGAGGGAGCCAGAGCUGGGUCUGCAUAUCACAGCUCUCUGCUGUAAGAGUUGAGUAGCUGGGGUCAUGCAGAGCAGUGUCUGCUAACAUUUCCGUGGGAGGAUUUGAAACUGGGAUCCCAGGAGUCCUUUUGAGACAGGGAUCAAUAACUGAGAUUCCCUGUUCAGUCUGUUUUCCUUAGGGUUGUAAGUAGCCAGAACUGCAUGGCAGAGCAGCUCUCUUAUGAAUGGUUAUAGGUGGAGCUCCAGGUGGCAAUGUUAAAUUUAGGUAUUUUGGUUACUAUCCCAAAUGAGGCUGGAAAGACUCCAGGCCAUUGUGUAAUUUCAGGAAUUCUCACUGAUGUGAUCAAUCACUGAUGUGAUUGCUUUAAAUUGAGCAGUAGAUUUACAGCUCCAAUUUGGCUUAAAUACCUCUUGUGUACCCUUUGUUCACCUGUGUGUCUUUGCCGUUUCACUUUGCUCUGGGCGUUCACAGCAAGUUGUGUUGGACCACGAUCAAACGUGAAUGUGUCAGAGUCAUGUUUUAGAAGCGUAAUUAGGAUACAGUACUUGUGAAAUGGUGCUUAAUUAUAAAGAGGUUUUUUUGUUGCAAUUUUAAAAUUGUUAGUGGACUUGUCAGACUUUUCAACCUUAGUGUCUCCUGGAAUAAGGAAGGACAGAGUUUUCAAAAGAUUAUGUUUUUCUUUUUAUUGGUUAAAAAAAUUAUCAGUCAUCUUCAUUUACUAUAUGAAUCAUGGGAUCUAGAGAUGGGAAAGACUUAUUACUUUAUGUAGUCCAUUGCCUUCCCCAGCAAAAUGUUUUUUUGCCAUAAACUUUUCCAGUGCUUUGGGCAAUUUAGUUUUAAAUAUCUCUGCAAAUAAACAGCACUUUCACUGCUUCUCUAGGUCAGUUAUUGAACACCUUUUUUUUUCUCUAAGCGAUUUCAUUAUAUUUUGCUUUAUAUUUAGCAUACAUAUAUAGAUAGCUAGAUGGAUAUAGAUAUCUUUUAAAUGACAGAAAUGUGUUAUCUGAGAUUUUCUGGAUUAGAUAGAGGAAAAAAAAUAGUUCUUUCCAGUCCAGUGCUGUAGAUACUCAAUGCCUCAGCAAAUGUUAAGGUUUUGCAAUUAUGUUUUCAUAUCUAUUUUGUUGCAGUAAGGAUCCCCUGAAGAGAGAGGAUAUACUAUUAAAAAAAUUCUUUCAAAUACAUUCUGACUUAAAAAAUAGGGUCUCCUAUUACCAUGACUACUUAUCACAGCCAUUUUGCAUAUUGCUGCUAAUUGCAAUGACAGGUAAGCAAAAUGAGAUUUGUAAAUUAUAUCUCUGUAUUUUAAAUGAAUGACUACAUUAAUGACUACUGUCCUUAGUAAUUCUUGCUCUCAGGCACUACAGAUCUUUGUAGGCAUUCCUUCUGAACUAACACUGUUAUUGUUGAAACAAAUUGCACCAGUCUUCUUCUUCUUCUUUUAAUCUCUCUAAAAGAUUAAAGUUCAAGUAAAGAAAAACAUUAUAGAGGCACAAAAAUCUAGCAUUCUCUUUCGUUUUGUUUCACCUUUAAUCAAACUGUAACUGCUCCUACUAGAAGGAGUUUUUGUAGCACUUCUAUUUGUCCAGAAAUGUAAUGAUUUGUCACAUCUUUGGGAACUACUUAUGUGAUAACAAUGACUUAGUGUGUAAGACUGUACAACAAGGAGGUGAUUAAAAGGAAUUUCAGAACAGAAAACAGGUCAGUUUAAGAAAAUAAGCCUAAAAAUAUACCUUGCUAAAACAGUUCAUAUCGAAAUAAAGAGAGUAUCCUCUAAUUUAAAAUUUAUCUAUAUCUUUAAAGUUUUUAAAUAAUAUUUUUAUUCAUUUUCUGCAUAUCCAGAAUCCAAAUAGAUAAAGGUCUUCCAAUAAUUUUAUUCUUGGUAAUAGAAUCAUUCAUGGUUAAAAUUUGGCAGGCUUAAGUUCCUUAAAAAAUGGUAUCUUAAUGAAAUCACAUGAUUGACUAUAUAGCUGUAGAUCAGUUCAAAACCAAAAAAAGGAUUUGAAACUGCUAUUGCCUUUAUCUCUUAAUUUCAUACAACAAACUUCUGGUCUUUCUCCUCAAAAAUGAUAGAGUUCUUAAGAAACUGAUCUGCUGCCCUCCCUUCCCAAAAAUAUUGUUUGGACUUAUGUGCAUGCCAAAAUGUUCGAAGUACUUAAUGAAUUUUAAAUAAGUUGUAUCUGACUUUUGUAUACUUUUUUCCCCAAAGAUUUUAGCUUUAUCCAUAGAAUAUCUGUGGAGAUAUUUUGCUCAAAAUAAAACUAAAAACAUAAGGAAGUAGUGCUCCCAUCUGAGUUGUCAUUUGCUACCUUUGGUUGUCAAAAUUGCUGAGCAAAGUAUGCAAAUGAGCAAGCUUGUUGCCCAGGAAGUUAAAGAUAGAAAUCUUCAGAAUAUGUGCAUUCCUGUGAGAAGUCUUUUGGCCUGGGAUCUGUUUCUUGUGAGAAAUCUUCCCACCAAAGCUUCAGAUGGAACUGAGGAAACAUUAUGUAUUUAAUUGAUUAGGAAUUUACUGGAUAACCAGUAGUGGUGAGCCCUCUAACCACCAUGAGUAAAUGUGAUUAGAUGCUAAAAAAUUACUAAAUUUUCAUUAAUCAGACUUUAUGUCCAAAUGCAAUUUCCAGAAAGUGAAAUCUUAUUUCCUUUACAAAUUUGUCUUUGUCUCUUUACUGCUCUUAUCCUGAGCAACUUUUAAUUUUCAAAGCUGAUGAAUAUCUGCAGUCAUCUCUCAUAUCAUACAUCUACACUCCAGUCUAGCAAUGUAGCUACAGCUCCUCAGGAUACACCUGAGCUGGCUUUAAAACUGCUCUUGGGGACACCCAGCACAGUGUAGCCAGACAGGGGAUUGGAGUUUCAUUUAGGCUGUUUGAUGUAUUUAGGCUUUAACAGUCUGUACUGAGACUCAUCCUGCCUCAGGAUGGACUUUUGUCAGUCACUGAAUUGGUUAGAUAAAUCAGCUUGGAUAUGUACAUCCAAGCUACCCUGCCUAGUAUAAACCAGCAUAUUCUUUAUUCCACUGGAAGUUGCAUAAGGUAAAGAAAGGUCAGUGUGUUCAGACUCCUGUGGAGGGAAUAAAGGGAUUUGCAACAUCUAAGUGACCUGCAGUACCUUCAAACUGAAAAAAAUACAAUGCAGGGGUUACAUCAUUGCCUUGAGUGUUUAUAAUGUUUGAUUUCUCUCCCCAGUAGAUGUAUAAAAGACCAAACUCUGACAAGAGUAAUGGAUUUGAACAAAUCAACCUUAACAGAGAAUAUUACAGUCCAGAGUAUUCAGCCCAAUCCCCGUGUCAUUUAGCAUAAAAGCUAUCAAGCAAACCAAUACCAAUUUCUUAUAUCACUCCUACCCUCCUUAGAUUACUUGUCUGAGAUUUAUUUUUGCAAGUUUCCAUUUUAUAGUAUAUUUUUAUUAACAGUGAUAGAAAUAUAUUUAUUUUAAAACAGGAUGUAACAAUAUUGCAGUGUUGCCCUUUGUUCAAUACCAUAUUUUACUCUUUUCUUCUUGGUAGUAAUGAUAAUAACACUUAUAGUAUCCUAUGUAUUGAAAAGACCUUUGCUGCCAUCAACUCAGUAUCUUGUAUAGAUUAGUUAGAUAUUGUAUCUCCAUUUUAGAAAUAAUCUGAGACAGAAGAUCUUUAACAACUAGCCUUUGAAAAGUAUUCCUAAUUGUCUCUCAUUGAAUUCUUGUAUAUAUAACUCUAAUUUCCCGUGGUUCCUGGUCUCUUCUGUUACCUUCAACAGGGGAAUAAACCAUUUCUCUAAAAAGAGGAACCAAGGAGGACAAUUGACAGUGUGUCUGCAAUUGAGUAAGAUGUUGUUUCCUCUUAUGUGCUCUCUUUCCUUCAGUCUCCUUGGGUUCCAUGCCAUACUCAGCGUACGCUCCACCCCUCUUGUAGCCACAGACCCACUGCUGCAGAGCUCAGCAGGCAAACCUCAGUCUCUGGAGACUCUAGAGAGUCACUAGUUACACUGUUUUUACUUCUCACUUUCUGUCCAUCAAUCAUCUCAGUACUCCUGCAUAUUUUCUGCUGAUUUAUCCAUGACUUCCCUCUAAUUGUAGUCCCUUCCUACCAUUCUUCUGUUCUUAUAUUCCUAUGCUUGCUUGCAAAUGGCUGAAGAAUCUUGGUGGUAUAAUUGCCAUGGAUUUACCCAUCCAAAAGAAUGUUAAAAUUAAGAACAGUGUUCCAACAUAUGUUAUACCCCACACUUGCUACCACCAUCUUUUGUAUGCAGGAGUUCACAUUUGGUUCUGCUUUCCUUCCCUCCCACACUCACAUUUCCUAUACAUCCACACACACAAACAUCUGUUUUCCAUUCUCCAAUCAAUAGUAAAAUUUAGCUGCUUAAAUAAAACUAUUGGUAUAUUUGGAGUCUGUAGAUGUAACAUUCAGAAUGAAAAUAUCAUGUAUUUUAUUUGUCCGUGGUAAAUUUUGUAAAAGGACCUGCCAUGAGAGUAUUUCUAGUCCAGGAAAAGAGCAGAAGAGAGCAUGAAAGGCUGUCCUGUGAGAUUUUUUGGUCUCUGUACUUGUAUUAUUUUACAGUGUAAGGCUGAUGACUUUGAUAUGUUAUAUUUAAUAUGCAUUAAAAGUUUAUUGUAUUUUUAGGAUUUUUGCACAUGCUGCUUAUGUAUCAAUGUAUUAUGUAGGAUAGCAUAUGAGGGUUUUUUAUCACUGAGGUUUCAUCAAAACUGGACAGAAAAUAAAAUUGGAUAAUCCUCUUUUUUCAUUUGGGAGGAUUUCU